rnacentral:rRNA from 1 species
UACGUAGGGGGCAAGCGUUGUCCGGAAUUAUUGGGCGUAAAGAGCGUGUAGGCGGCCAGGUAGGUCUGCUGUGAAAACUCGAGGCUCAACCUCGAGACGUCGGCGGAAACCAUCUGGCUAGAGUCCGGAAGAGGAGAGUGGAAUUCCUGGUGUAGCGGUGAAAUGCGCAGAUAUCAGGAAGAACACCCGUGGCGAAGGCGGCUCUCUGGGACGGUACUGACGCUGAGACGCGAAAGCGUGGGGAGCGAACAGG